rnacentral:rRNA from 1 species
AUUGAACGCUGGCGGCAGGCCUAACACAUGCAAGUCGAACGAGUGGCGGACGGGUGAGUAAUGUCUGGGAAACUGCCUGAUGGAGGGGGAUAACUACUGGAAACGGUAGCUAAUACCGCAUACCAUCGGAUGUGCCCAGAUGGGAUGAGCUAGUAGGUGGGGUAAAGGCUCACCUAGGCGACGAUCCCUAGCUGGUAUGAGAGGAUGACCAGCGAAACUGGAAGUGAGCCACGGUCCCGACUCCUACGGGAGGCAGCGGGGGGGAAUAUUGCAGAAUGGGCGCAAGCCGUAUGCAGCCAUGCCGCGUGUAUGAAGAAGGCCUUUGGGUUGUAAAGUACUUUCAGCGGGGAGGCGUUACCCGCAGAAGAAGCACCGGCUAACUCCGUGCCAGCAGCCGCGGUAAUAC